CACAUUUAUUCUGUGUCAGAAACCUAUGCUGUGUCAACUAUUUAAUCACAAUCCAAAUUCAGAGCUGUAUCAAGCUUGAAUGUUGUGUCCAUACUUGCCUCAACUGUUCAGGGUUGGGUUCGACCUCUGUGGUCGUAUAAUGCUGCGCCCUGCGGAGCAUCUGGUUCAUAUAGUCAUGAUAUUAAUUGUAUGCAAUAUGACUCUACAUUCCCCUCUAGAUGUUUUGUGUAUGUUAUUUGCUAGCUAUUGCAACAACGGUUAUCCCA
rnacentral:lncRNA from 1 species